GAGCCCUGGCUCCGCUCCUCCGCGGGCACUUUUCUCCGUGGCUCCCCGGAGGACUGGACUCUGGACCCGGUGUCGCUCUGCCAGGCUUUGGGGACGGGUUUGGUCCCGCAGCCGUCCGCUGCUGGAGGAGGCAACACGGGAGAGUGGCCUGGCAGGUGCCUGGGAGGCUGGGAUAUCCCUGCUCUGCCCGGCCGCCUCCCAAAAGCGCGAUUCCCGGCACCGGGAAGUCCCGGUCGCAGCUGGAGAACAAAGUACGGCCGGGGCGAUCGGCGGGGAGAAUGAGCAGGGCAACGUUUUGUUGUGCGUCGGGUUUCACAGAACCGAAAGCCGGUCCUCUUCCCCUGCAGGCGAGCGGAUAUAUGAAACACGUCCUUGCUCUCCUACCUGCAUCCCCUCUGGUUCUCUUAAUGAAAGGAUACAGCAGCAGACAGUGUCCCGAGGUAUUUUCAUAUAAUCCCCGCUGAAGACUUAGUAAGAUUCUCUGUACUGCAAAAUGCCAUUUGCAUUGUGGAAGUACAGUUGUGGUGAAAAGGAGAUUUUGGGCCAUCUGUGUUUCACAGGAGUCCCGUGGUGCUAACCUUGCACUGGGAACAGCAGGGAUGGACCAAAGGAUAGUGAAUAGUCCCCACACCUCUGCUCUCUAGGUUUUCCUGGAUACAAGAUGCUACCUUUCUACACCACAAACAAGGACAGCAGUUACUGGGAGACCGCCUCAGGAACCCAUCACCUAUGCAUAGGCUGCUGGGGGGAUCAAAUUCCAUCACAGCAGCCUCCAGGGAGGUCUCAGAAAAGGCUGAUUUCCUUAGCUGGUUCUUGCAAAAGCUGCACCAUUCUGCACACUUUUGGAUGGCAAUACAGGAUGCCAAAAACACUGUGCCACAGUCACACAUCCGAUUUUCCCUUACUCCAGUGCAUCCUGUGAUUUUCACUCUCCGAGCUGAUUUGGAACGUGAGCAGGUUUUUAGCAGAAAACCAGAUAGAGAUAUAGGAAAUACACAGCUAAUUGAUGACAUAUCUCCACUGAACAGCCUCGUUUAAACUCAUAACGAUGUAGUCCAUGCUGCCACCUACAUCUUCUGAUUCAGGUUUCUUGUGUACUGCAACUUUGAUUCGUAGGCAUCUUUCGCAGAAGGCAGCUCACAUUUUGUGAGGCUCCACGAGGGACCACAGGCAGCUCUGGCUGCACUAGGGAAUGAAGCAAAGGGUUUCUCACCAGCUCAGCCACUUGUUUGGUUGCAGUGAGGAUGCCUAGACGCAGAUUAGGAACCAGCAGUGAAAUGUAAGUAGCGGCUGGAGCCUUGUCUGUGUGAAGGAUUCUGCCAGCACAGCUGACCGCUGACAGCAGUGGAAUAUUUUGCUCUAGUUCUCUAGAGAAAUCAAAGUCCAUAUUUUGUUUCUUGCUCUCUCUUCAUCUGUUGCUUCUCUCUCAUUAAAAGUCAGCCACACAAAGCACAUGGUUGCUCUCUGUGUUUUAAAAAAAUUAUGUUUGGGGUAAAAGACCAACAGCCAAAGCUGUUUUGAAGUCAGAGGCACAUAAACAAUACCUGGAACUAAGUAUAAUAAUAAUAAUAAUAGUAAUAAUAAUAAUAAUAAUCCUUUUGUUUCAUAAAUAUGCACAUUGCUAUUCUAUUUCAUUUUGACACAGCACAACUUCUGAGAAUGUGCCUGAUGAAUAUUUGGGGGAGCUCUGCCUUCAGCUGCAGUGGCGUAUGGCAGCACUAAUGCUUCUGGCUUCUCCACUCUCUUAUGUAACCAAAAUCACAAGUUAGAGCCCAAAUUACAAAGCAUAAGCAUGUGUAUAAUAUUAAGCAUACAAAUGGUGCCUGAAAUUACUAUCCUUUUCAUGUAGGUCUGUUUUUAAUCUGUUAGAAUUUUUGCUUCUGCAGCUUUAUUGAUUUCAGUGUCCGCUGAUGCAGUUCAUAACGCAAUCAAGCCUAAACCCUUGAAAACCCCGCUGUGAAGACAGUAACCCAAACUUAACUAAGGCCAAAAUAACUCUGGCUACAGGUAGGGAAAGUUCAAAUGACUUUUAUACCUCGAGUGUAUCCUGUAUCAAGAUGCUAUAGCAAGCAGAACACCAUAUCCCCCUGGCUGCCUUGGCAACCAGUCAGAGUGGAAGAUUUUUGCACCCCAGCCCAAGGCAUGGGUUUAUCAUCACCUUCCUUUGAGUUUUCCCUCUUUCUCAGAGACUAUUUUUGGCCAUUACCAUGCUGAUCUUGCUGGAGUUUUAAGGUGUUGGAUGCUGAUGCAGCGAGUGGCUCUUGUAUCUGUUUAAUCCGAUAACAUAACUCUUUUUUAAUCUCCAUGUCUGGGUCACAGGGUUUAAAAAAGACACUGGGCCAAAUCCCCAGCUUGGCUACAACGUGUGGAAAUCUACUGAGAUGGCACGAAAGUCAGGAGAGAUUCACUGUAUUUGCACCCGGGUAAAGAGGUCUCAAGGGGCAGGGAUGUGAGAGCCAGAUUUCAGAUGGAUGAAAGGGUAUGGAAGAGCUAAUUCAGAUUUCCGUAAGGAGAAACCUUUUUUUCAUUGUUUGGCUGUUAGAGGAAACACGAUGUUUCAUGGACGCAGGACCAAAAUGGAAAAAGAGAAGAUUUUGCAGGGAUUGGGAAGAUUUUACAAAUAAACAUUAAAAUUAAAAAAACCCCCAACAAGUUCAUCCAGGUACGAAGUCCAGCAGAAAAGUAGGAGAGAAAUGGACUUCACUGUCUAUAAAGGAUUGUGUAAGCAAGAAUGGCAAAAAGAAGGUCUGAAUAAGUCCAUUGCAUUAAUGAUUUUCUAUACAUGACUUUCCUAUACAAAGUUACAUGGGGUCAGUCUUUGGAGUUCCCCUGUACAGCAGAGGAUCCUGAGCCUGAAAAAGGGAAGCAGAUUUUGUAACAGAUUUGCAUAUCAUGGAGUGACUCUGGAUUGCAGAUUUUAAGCAUUACUAGAUUGGAGAAUAAAUUGUUGCUAUUGCUGUUACAUACCAGGAUAUGUACCUGAUCCACACAAUCCACUAAGCUACUGUAGUUUUAGUCCGUGUUUAUUUUAGAUAAAAUUAUAGCCUGGACAGUUAAUUUUUCUUAGUCUGUCCAUAUAAAUCAUAUACAAAUAAAGUAUCAAGCGGAAAUCAAAAUAUGACCUGUGUUUUUGAAACACUUCCCAUCAUGUGAGCCUGCCAGUGAUAGAGCCCUACACCUGGUUUACAAGUCGAACAUAAAGGCAAUGAAAAACCACAGGUCUUCUUGAAAAGUACCCAGUUAAAUUCUCUUGCUUUAAUUCUCUGGGUGGCAUAUUUUGCUUAUAUUUGAGACUGCCUAGCCAUUAUGGGAUUGCCUGCACCAGUCCUUUCCUUACAUCAAGCUAAUUGCAAAUUAACUUGAGGCACUUAGCAAGACUGAGAGGCUGGAGCUGGUUCUUGCUGAGCACCGGCUGAGUUCGGAAAUGCCUGUUGCUUUACAGGGGCUGAUUCCUAAAGUGAGGGGCAAACUGAGGAACCAACCAGCCUGGAACCAAAGUGGUCACACUGGCUUUUGAAAAAAGUGAAUGUCUCAAAUUAACUGACAGUCAGCUACCUGGAAAUAAAAACCUCUCAUAUAUCCAAAGGUUUUCAUUAGGAUUUUCAAGAUCUCCUGAGCAAUUUAAAAUCUUUGUGAGGAAUGCACUAUAGAAUGAAAAAUAUAAGUAUUAUGAAAGAAUGUCUCUGAACUGAAAGCCUGCCAGUUUCAUAAAAAUGAGCUAAAAAAGCAAUAACAGGUACUCGGUCUCCUGCUGGAUGCUAUAUGAACUGUAUAUUUUGUAUUUUGAAAGUAACUCUAAAACAAUGUUUUUUUCUUCACUAUUGCUGUUGGGAAGAACUGUAGAAGAACUAUGUAUAAAUGAGAUUAAAGUAAUCUAAUUUAAAAAAAUAAACAAUGUGCUUUCAUCUUCAAUUCA